GAUGAAGAACGCAGCGAAAUGCGAUAAGUAGUGUGAAUUGCAGAAUUCAGUGAAUCAUCGAAUCUUUGAACGCACAUUGCGCCCUUUGGUAUUCCAAAGGGCAUGCCUGUUCGAGCGUCAUUUGUACCCUCAAGCUUUGCUUGGUGUUGGGCGUCUUGUCUCUAGCUUUGCUGGAGACUCGCCUUAAAGUAAUUGGCAGCCGGCCUACUGGUUUCGGAGCGCAGCACAAGUCGCACUCUCUAUCAGCAAAGGUCUAGCAUCCAUUAAGCCUUUUUUUUCAACUUUUGACCUCGGAUCAGGUAGGGAUACCCGCUGAACUUAAGCAUAUCAAUAAGCGGAGG
rnacentral:misc_RNA from 1 species